UCCUACGGGAGGCAGCAGUGGGGAAUAUUGCACAAUGGGGGAAACCCUGAUGCAGCAACGCCGCGUGGGUGAAGAAGUAUUUCGGUAUGUAAAGCCCUAUCAGCAGGGAAGAGAAUGACGGUACCUGACUAAGAAGCCCCGGCUAACUACGUGCCAGCAGCCGCGGUAAUACGUAGGGGGCAAGCGUUAUCCGGAUUUACUGGGUGUAAAGGGAGCGUAGACGGUUGUGCAAGUCUGAAGUGAAAGCCCGGGGCCCAACCCCGGGACUGCUCUUGGAACUGCGUGGCUGGAGUGCAGGAGGGGCG
rnacentral:rRNA from 1 species